GAUGAACGCUGGCGGCGUGCUUAAUACAUGCAAGUCGAACGAACAGACGAGGAGCUUGCUCUUGUGACGUUAGCGACGGAUGGGUGAGUAACAAGUGACUAACCUAUAUAUAUGACAGGAAUAACUUCGACAAACUGUAGCACAUACCGGAUAAUUUAAUGAACUGCAUGGUUUAGUAGUGAAAGAUGGGUUUUCUGUGAACUCUCGAUCGAUCCGCGCGGUAUUAGCUAGUUGGUACGGUAACGAGUUAACGAGGAGACGAUCCGUAGCCGACCUGAGAGAGGGAUCGGCGGCACGGGAGCUGGAACAGGGUCCAUGCGCCUGAGGGAGGGAGCAGUAGGGAAUCUUCCGCAGUGGGCGAAAGCCUUGCGGAGCAACGCCGCGUGAGUGAUAAAGAUCUUCGGAUCGGAAAACUCGGUUAUGAGGGAAGAACAAAUGUGUAAAGGACUAUGCACGACGUGACGGUACCUAAUCAGAAAGCCACGGCUAACUACGUG
rnacentral:rRNA from 1 species